rnacentral:tRNA from 1 species
GCGGGCGUAGUACAGUGGUAGUACACGUGCUUGCCAAGCACGAAACGAGGGUCCGAUUCCCUUCGCCCGCU